AUUGAACGCUGGCGGCAGGCCUAACACAUGCAAGUCGAGCGGAUGAAGGGAGCUUGCUCCUGGAUUCAGCGGCGGACGGGUGAGUAAUGCCUAGGAAUCUGCCUGGUAGUGGGGGAUAACGUCCGGAAACGGGCGCUAAUACCGCAUACGUCCUGAGGGAGAAAGUGGGGGAUCUUCGGACCUCACGCUAUCAGAUGAGCCUAGGUCGGAUUAGCUAGUUGGUGGGGUAAAGGCCUACCAAGGCGACGAUCCGUAACUGGUCUGAGAGGAUGAUCAGUCACACUGGAGCGAAAACAGGGUCAAGACUCCUCGGGGGGGAGGCGGGGGGGAAUUUUGGAAAAGGGGCGAAGGCCUGACCCAGCCGUGCGGCGGGUGUAAAGAAGGUCUUGGGUUUGUAAACCUCUUUAAGUGGGGGGGAAGGGAAGUAAGUAAAUACCUUGUUGUUUGAACGUUCCAAAAAAAAAAAGCCCCGGCAAACUUCGUC
rnacentral:rRNA from 1 species